rnacentral:pre_miRNA from 1 species
CAAUUCUCAGUUACCUUAUCACGUGUUGCUAAAGUUCAAUACAUUUAGUGAACUUUGGCACAACGCUGAUUAGGUGACUGAUUAUUU